CGGGACACCAGCAGAAGGAGGAGAAGCAGACAGGUUGAACUCAACGUUUUGGCAAUCUCUUUGGUUGGCUCUGAAAUUCUCUCAUGCAAAAGCUGUCAUGAAAAUAAGCAGUUCUUCUAAGAUCGGAAGGGACACAGGAGAUGCAUGAAAUUGGAAAGGCCUCUUCCCAACCCCGGACACCCUGCUGCAAUUCUCUAAGGAAGACUGUAUUAUUGAGAAUGAUAAUUCCAGCUUCCUCACCAGAGAUGACGUCACCAAUGAUGCCGAUGACCUCGUAGGGCUGUGGUGAAGGUCACACAAGAAAAUCAAUGCUCCAAACUCUACAGGAGCUCCUGACAUCUCUGUGGGAGACCAAAAUGGCUGCUCAGG